rnacentral:rRNA from 1 species
UGGGGAAUAUUGCACAAUGGGGGAAACCCUGAUGCAGCGACGCCGCGUGAACGAAGAAGGUAUUCGUAUCGUAAAGUUCUGUCCUAUGGGAAGAUAAUGACAGUACCAUAGAAGAAAGCUCCGGCUAAAUACGUGCCAGCAGCCGCUGUAAUACGUAUGGAGCGAGCGUUGUCCGGAAUUAUUGGGCGUAAAGGGUACGCAGGCGGUUUAAUAAGUCGAAUGUUAAAGAUCGGGGCUCAACCCCGUAAAGCAUUGGAAACUGAUAAACUUGAGUAGUGGAGAGGAAAGUGGAAUUCCUAGUGUAGUGGUGAAAUACGUAGAUAUUAGGAGGAAUACCAGUAGCGAAGGCGACUUUCUGGACACAAACUGACGCUGAGGUACGAAAGCGUGGGGAGCAAACAGG